rnacentral:rRNA from 1 species
ACGAACGCUGGCGGCGUGCUUAACACCUGCAAGUCGAACGGAAAGGCCCUGCUUUUGUGGGGUGCUCGAGUGGCGAACGGGUGAGUAACACGUGAGUAACCUGCCCUUGACUUUGGGAUAACUUCAGGAAACUGGGGCUAAUACCGGAUAGGAGCUCCUGCUGCAUGGUGGGGGUUGGAAAGUUUCGGCGGUUGGGGAUGGACUCGCGGCUUAUCAGCUUGUUGGUGGGGUAGUGGCUUACCAAGGCUUUGACGGGUAGCCGGCCUGAGAGGGUGACCGGCCACAUGGGGACUGGGGUACGGCCCAGACUCCUACGGGAGGCAGCAGUGGGGAAUAUUGCACAAUGGGCGGAAGCCUGAUGCAGCAACGCCGCGUGCGGGAUGACGGCCUUCGGGUUGUAAACCGCUUUCGCCUGUGACGAAGCGUGAGUGACGGUAAUGGGUAAAGAAGCACCGGCUAACUACGU